GAUGAACGCUGGCGGCGUGCCUAAUACAUGCAAGUCGAGCGAACGGACGAGAAGCUUGCUUCUCUGAUGUUAGCGGCGGACGGGUGAGUAACACGUGGAUAACCUACCUAUAAGACUGGGAUAACUUCGGGAAACCGUAGCUAGUACCGGAUAAUAUUUUGAACCGCAUGGUUCAAAAGUGAAAGACGGUCUUGCUGUCACUUAUAGAUGGAUCCGCGCUGCAUUAGCUAGUUGGUAAGGUAACGGCUUACCAAGGCAACGAUGCAUAGCCGACCUGAGAGGGUGAUCGGCCACCCUGGAACUGAGACACGGUCCAGACUCCUACGGGAGGCAGCAGUAGGGAAUCUUCCGCAAUGGGCGAAAGCCUGACGGAGCAACGCCGCGUGAGUGAUGAAGGUCUUCGGAUCGUAAAACUCUGUUAUUAGGGAAGAACAUAUGUGUAAGUAACUGUGCACAUCUUGACGGUACCUAAUCAGAAAGCCACGGCUAACUACGUG
rnacentral:rRNA from 1 species